UAGUUGACUGUUGACUCCAAAUUUUUAUAAGAAGGGAGGGUUUACUGCACUCUACCACAGAGUUUACUCUCUUCAUCUUCUUAGUCUUUGACUCUUGCUUCUUUCACACUCUUAGCAACCAAAUAUUAAUGAAUAUACAAAAAUUAAUGAAUUAGUGAAUUCUUAGAAUUUUUUUAUAUAUAUGUUCCAAUAAUUCCUCCAUUUAAUUCCACAUAUGCCCCUAAUCUGAUGCAUAUAAAAUAUAAAUAUCCCCCUCUCCGUGCCUAACUCCACCAAAAUACCAAACACAUAGCUAAUAAGCUUUGCUAUCCCAAAGAACAUAGGGAAGCUUUGCUAUAAAAAAAACACAGCUAAGAAAAGAUGGUGUCUGUGAGUGAGAUCCAAAUAAUAUUACUGAAUACUCCAUGUCUUUGCUCUCACAUCUCAUCAACCUCAACCUCUCCGAAUCCGGUACCCAGAAGAUCAUUGCUGAAUACAUAUGGAUUGGUGGAUCUGGUUUGGACAUCAUACAAGCAUAGCUUCUUGUUGGCCGUGUUGAUGAAGAAGUUUCCCAUGAAUAAUGCUCCUCAAAGCUAUUGUUAUUAUGAGUAGUACUACUAGUGUUCUUGUUCUUCAUAUAAUAGUUCUUCCUUUCCAUGGUGAUGCUGAUGAUGAUGAUGAUGCUUUAGUUUCUCUUUUAUGCCCUUUGUCUUGUCCUUUUCAGUCCAAAACCUGCUAGAGAGAGAGAGAAACAAUAAAUUAUUUUAAGAAGAAAAAAGAUAAUGUAACAAGAAAUUAAAGAGAUUACCUUUUUAAUAGGGCUUCAAAUUAAAGGCAGAGAUAACUAAAACUAAUAAUGAAAAAAAAUGGGUAGCUAGCUUGAGUUUGAUGAUGAUGUGUGAUAAGGGGAAGAAAGAAAGAAAGAAAGAAAGAGAAGGUGAUGAAGAGAAUUGAAGAAGAUCUGAUCUAAGCUGGAGCAUGCAGGAUUGGUGGAUCUGGUCCAGUGAGUAAUCCUUCAAAACUUCCAAAAUGGAACUAUGAUGGUUCGAGCACAGGAUAUUGAAGUCAUCCUAUACUCGGCUGAACAUGAAAAAUGACUUCACUAAAAGCUAAAAGAUACACCUUCACAGACCAAGCUUUCAUUACAUAUGGAGAGAGGAGACAAUGUAUGAAUUUAAAUACUUGCCAACAACUUAUUGUGUUGAGUGGGGUUUGUUUUUUGUGUUGAACAAGCCCACAAGCCAUCUUCAAGGACCCAUUCAGGAGGGGAGAGAAUAUUCUUGUAAGUCUCUUUCUUUCCAUUUCUAAAUAAUGCUGGUUUCAAUUUAAUUUACGAGCAAGUUUUUUUUCCAAUUAUUGGGUCAACUAUUCAUUAACCUUGUUGACUAUGUUCUUUUUAAUAUUUCAAGUAAAAUUACUGAAUAAAUCUUUUGUAAACUAUUUUAUUUUUCAGUAUAGAAACACUUAGUUAAUUGGUAAAAAUGUUAUGAACAACCACUUAGGGUGUGUUUGGUAACCACGUUUGAAGGAAAAAAGCACGUUAGAGCUUCUUAAAAGCUUCACUUUUUUGUUUGGCUAAUAUUUUUCUCUACAAACGCAGAAGUGAUUUUGUUCAUAAAAUCACGUUUACAAGAAGCAAUAAUUUCUAGC